AUACGGAGGAUGCGAGCGUUAUCCGGAUUUAUUGGGUUUAAAGGGAGCGUAGGUGGGAUAUUAAGUCAGCUGUGAAAGUUUGGGGCUCAACCUUAAAAUUGCAGUUGAUACUGGUUUCCUUGAGUACGGUACAGGUGGGCGGAAUUCGUGGUGUAGCGGUGAAAUGCUUAGAUAUCACGAAGAACUCCGAUUGCGAAGGCAGCUUACUGGACUGUAACUGACGCUGAUGCUCGAAAGUGUGGGUAUCAAACAGGAUUAGAUACCCUGGUAGUCCACACAGUAAACGAUGAAUACUCGCUGUUUGCGAUAUACGGCAAGCGGCCAAGCGAAAGCAUUAAGUAUUCCACCUGGGGAGUACGCCGGCAACGGUGAAACUUAAAGGAAUUGACGGGG
rnacentral:rRNA from 1 species